rnacentral:rRNA from 1 species
GUUUGAUCCUGGCUCAGAUUGAACGCUGGCGGCAUGCCUUACACAUGCAAGUCGAACGGCAGCACGGGAGCAAUCCUGGUGGCGAGUGGCGAACGGGUGAGUAAAGUAUCGGAACGUACCUUUCAGUGGGGGAUAACGUAGCGAAAGUUACGCUAAUACCGCAUAUUCUGUGAGCAGGAAAGCAGGGGAUCGCAAGACCUUGCGCUGAUUGAGCGGCCGAUAUCAGAUUAGCUAGUUGGUGGGGUAAAGGCCUACCAAGGCGACGAUCUGUAGCGGGUCUGAGAGGAUGAUCCGCCACACUGGAACUGAGACACGGUCCAGACUCCUACGGGAGGCAGCAGUGGGGAAUUUUGGACAAUGGGGCAACCCUGAUCCAGCCAUGCCGCGUGAGUGAAGAAGGCCUCGGUUGUAAGUC